UACGAAGGGGGCUAGCGUUGCUCGGAAUCACUGGGCGUAAAGCGCACGUAGGCGGAUUGUUAAGUCGGGGUGAAAUCCUGGAGCUCAACUCCAGAACUGCCUUUGAUACUGGCGAUCUCGAGUCCGGGAGAGGUGAGUGGAACUGCGAGUGUAGAGGUGAAAUUCGUAGAUAUUCGCAAGAACACCAGUGCGAAGGCGGACUCACUGGCCCGGUACUGACGC
rnacentral:rRNA from 1 species